AGUAUCAAACUACAAAACAUCGAGGCUUACUACUUCUGUCUUAAUUCAAAUCAUAAUCCAUUCUACAAGUAUCAAUUCAACAAUACUUCUCUCAAUCACAAUUCUUCAUAAGCAAAUAAAAAAGAAAACAAAGAAGUAGCACCAAGCUUAUCCCAGCUUACAACUCUCACAGUUUGGCUCUCGGCUUACGACUCUCACAGUCUAGCCUUCGGCUCUCUUUCUUCAACCUAUUUAUCCUACCAAAAAGAU
rnacentral:lncRNA from 1 species